CCAGCUCGAAGGCCACGAAUGCUCAUCCCGUACAGGUUGCUCCAUGCACACCACAUUCAUGAGCGGGCUAAGGUCUGAGUAUUUUAAUCCCCCUCGAUCGGCUCUAGCGGGGCCUGGCUGUAAUCAGCUGCGCGACGUACCAGACAAGCAGCGUCAUUUUCAUAUCCCUAAGAUUCUGUUACCGCAAAUGCGGCAGAGGAGGGCGAAAUUGAAAGCUUUGAAAGUGUCGCGGGGAUCGGGCAAACCUACAUCCAUCGUCUAGCAUUCAGUAGUCGCUAUCACGCAUGCGCUCUCAUUGCGUAUGAGCUCUCAUUGCGCAUGAGGUGGCUGGUGGCUGAUUGUAUGCGGUGAUGGCAUACUGGCUUGUCCUUGAGUUCACUUCGUGGCUCGCGCAUCCUUCGUGGAUCGUGAAACUCGAUUCAGACUACUCUCGGGCUGG
rnacentral:RNase_P_RNA from 2 species